rnacentral:rRNA from 1 species
ACUCAAAUGAAUUGACGGGGGCCCGCACAAGCAGUGGAUUAUGUGGUUUAAUUCGAUGCAACGCGAAGAACCUUACCAGGUCUUGACAUCCCAAGAAGACACCAGAGAUGGAGUUGUGCCUUUCGGGGAGCUUGGAGACAGGUGGUGCAUGGUUGUCGUCAGCUCGUGUCGUGAGAUGUUGGGUUAAGUCCCGCAACGAGCGCAACCCUUGCCAUUAGUUGCUACGCUAAGAGCACUCUAAUGGGACCGCUACCGACAAGGUGGAGGAAGGUGGGGACGACGUCAAAUCAUCAUGCCCCUUACGACCUGGGCCACACACGUAAUACAAUGGCCGUCAACAGCGUGAGGCAAACCCGCGAGGGGGAGCAAAACACCAAAAACGGUCCCAGUUCGGAUCGCAGGCUGCAACCCGCCUGCGUGAAGUUGGAAUUGCUAGUAAUCGCGGAUCAGCAUGCCGCGGUGAAUACGUUCCCGGGCCUUGCACACACCGCCCGU